rnacentral:rRNA from 1 species
UACGGAGGGUGCAAGCGUUAUCCGGCUUCACUGGGUUUAAAGGGUGCGUAGGUGGGGUGGUAAGUCAGUGGUGAAAUCUCCGAGCUUAACUUGGAAACUGCCAUUGAUACUAUCAUUCUUGAAUAUUGUGGAGGUCAGCGGAAUAUGUCAUGUAGCGGUGAAAUGCUUAGAUAUGACAUAGAACACCAAUUGCGAAGGCAGCUGGCUACUCAUAUAUUGACACUGAGGCACGAAAGCGUGGGGAUCAAACAGG